AUUGAACGCUGGCGGCAGGCCUAACACAUGCAAGUCGAACGAGAGGCGGACGGGUGAGUACUGUCUGGGAAACUGCCUGAUGGAGGGGGAUAACUCCUGGAAACGGUAGCUAAUACCGCAUACCAUCAGAUGUGGCCAGAUGGGAUUGACUAGUUUGUGGGGUAACGGCUUACCAAGGCGACGAUCACUAGGUGGUCUGAGAGGAUGACCGGCCACACGGGCACUGAGACACGGUCCAGACUCCUACGGGAGGCAGCAGUGGGGACUAUUGCACAAUGGGCGCAAGGCGGAUGCAGCCAUGCCGCGUGUAGUAAGAAGGCCUUCGGGUUGUAAAGUACUUUCAGCGGGGAGGCGUUACCCGCAGAAGAAGCACCGGCUAACUCCGUGCCAGCAGCCGCGGUAAUAC
rnacentral:rRNA from 1 species